rnacentral:rRNA from 1 species
GACGAACGCUGGCGGCGUGCUUAACACAUGCAAGUCGAGCGGAAAGGCUCCUUCGGGGGUACUCGAGCGGCGAACGGGUGAGUAACACGUGAGUAAUCUGCCCUUGGCUUUGGGAUAACUACCGGAAACGGUGGCUAAUACCGGAUACGACCACUCCUUGCAUGAGGUGGUGGUGGAAAGUUUUUUUCGGCCAGGGAUGUGCUCGCGGCCUAUCAGCUUGUUGUGGGGUAAUGGCCUACCAAGGCUUCGACGGGUAGCCGGCCUGAGAGGGUGACCGGCCACACUGGGACUGAGACACGGCCCAGACUCCUACGGGAGGCAGCAGUGGGGAAUAUUGGACAAUGGGCGAAGCCUGAUCCAGCAACGCCGCGUGAGGGAUGACGGCC